UUUAAAUUGAAUUAAAAUUUUGUUACAAGUUUUAUUAAUAUUUUGCAUAAAUUUUUCUACGUAUAUUUAUCCAAUUUGUAACUGGCAAGGGAGCUGAUAAGAAAGUCAAUUGGAUUUUAUUCUGACAAUGAAUAACGCGCGCAUAAUUGGCAGUCGACUUCCCCUUCGAAGAAAACGCGAUGGUUUCUCUGUUGAACGAUACCGAUACCGAUCUUGCAUCUUUCAUUUAUAAAUAUUCAUUACGUUCUCGGUUAACGUGCAUGAUUGCCGCGGUGUCGUGUCCGGCGCGAAUAAAAGCUGGACAGUUGGUUUCUCGAAAAUGAGGUCACAAGCUUUUUAUAUUUCUCAUAACACGAUUUAUCGGGCGCUCGUGGUAUUCUAAAUAGUUUGAUCCAAGAUCACGUAAGUAUAACAGUCUCUCUCAGGACGUACGAAAAUUUCUAAUAACCGACAAUGUUUCGCGAUGUAGCCACAAUCAUAAAACUGCGAUUCAACCCAGCAAACCGCGAAUGAAACUGCUAUGUAACAUAGAUGAAAAAUUAUUGCAUUUAUGUACGUGUUAUGUAUUGUGUUAUGUAAUAUCUACAUUCGUGCUCGCUGGGAAUGUAACAAGUAUGUUCUAUCUGUUGCAGACACGUCCUUGGAUCUUUCACGGUUGACGCAGAUGAGAAUUACCGUCUACGUUUCGGAGGUCGCUGCGGACCUUAAUCACCACGCGCGACAGGUAUUCCGGGUGUUCCGGGAACCGGCGAGGUAAAGGACUCGCGAUCCCGAUCAGGUUGGCGUUAAAGUAUGUCCAAAUGCGACGAGAGAGAGAGAGAAAGAGAGAGAGAGAGAGAGACGGGCCAAUCGAGCAAACGAAAUAUCUGAUUUGCGGCUUGAACCUUCACGGCUCGUUCUUCUUCUUUUUCUUCCCUUUCCUCUCGUGCAUUCGGCGAGACAUGCACUUGCAGCUGUAACGCCAUUUACGGCUCCUCCGCUGCAGCACGUGGUACGUUUUUUUUACAAAGCACGACAACAUCGUGUCCACUUUUGACGAACAACGCCGAUUAUUUGGCCGGUUUAUACCUCCCUCUUCCUCCUUCUCCUUCCUCGCGUUUCUCGCUCUCUAUCUCUGCUUCUUUAUGUUAACGACGUAUAAACAAGCUGGUCUUUCUGCAUUGUAUCCGACCCUAUAUGUGCCGCGAAGAUUAUACUUGUUCGCGUAAUGCCCGUUAAAAAAGAGCAUUAGCCGUCGAAAAUAUGGCUGUUGAUUCUUUGCGAAAUCUUUGACUUCUUGCAUCGGUGACUGUGAAGUUUGGUACCGAGAGGCAGAGAUAUCUUUAUGUCUAUAUGAUUCUCUUUAGAACUUGAUGUGUUUACUCAGUAAAGUGUUAUAGCCCUAGAACGCAUAAUUUUUCGGCAAAAUGUAGGGGAAGUGCCAUACCAUUUCAUUUUCGGAUAAUGCUUCUUAAGCAAAAGUUAAAAAUAAAACUUUAAAAACGUAAAUGUAAACCAGGAAACGUCUUCUGUCAAAAAGGACAGCAGUUUUCACAAUACUGUUUCAUUUUGUAAUAAUUAAUGUUCUCGUAACAUAAUAAGAAAUAAAUGUCUAAGAAAUUAAA